rnacentral:siRNA from 1 species
AGACAAGCAGCAUCAUCUUCUUGC